rnacentral:tRNA from 1 species
GCCUUCGUGGUGUAACGGUAGCACACUCGGUGCAUAUUCGAGAGGUCCAGGUUCGAAUCCCGGGAAGGGCA